CAUUCAAUCUGAAUUGAAUUUGAAAAGAGGAAACACGCCAAGCCACCAGCUCCGGUCAUGGUCUCACGUCACCCUUCGUGGGCACCGUGCCGGAGGUCGCCUCCGGCGGAGGUGGCGGGCCAAAAUAUGAAUUAGGACCACCAUCAUAAUCAUGUCUUUAUACUGAGCUCGAAUCUGUAAUCAAUUUCAAAUGACUCCUAGCCUAGGUCCCUAAUCGAGAGAAAAACCUGAAGAACCCUAAAGUCCUCAGGUCAAAUUAAACAACAAUCAAGUCCCCAUUCUCUCCUUGACCUUAGGGUUAUCACUCUCUGAUCACUACUACACCUACUGGUAACAAGAUAUAUAGGAAAAGAAUUGGAAUUCAGAGAGACUACCGGAGUUUCUUGGCGGUGAAGGUGACAAUGGAGGAUCCGUGCAAGGCUUGGACAAUAAGGCAAGGCUAGGUCUUGAUGAUGGUAUUGUUGGUGCUAUGUCAUUGUUGCUAAUUGGUAAGCUAUUGUUUCAAGUGGCGUGAUAGGCCUUGAACUGCCAUGGUUGUAUUUCCAAUGUUAUGCCACAAGAUGGUUUCGAUAGGUUUGUAGUGGAUGUUGAAUUGUGCAGGUCAGUUACUUCAUGCUACAUCUGACCUGGUUGCAUUGCAUCUCCAUGUUUACUUUAUGCCAUGGUUUAUUGAUUGGCUUGUGCACUACAAGAGCUUGUUGCAAGUAGCAUCACCUCUAGAUCCAUUUUUUCCCAUUGGCCUUGAUGUGCAGUAAGGUAUAGAUGUUGACUACUUGUAGGGUUGGCAUGAUACAUUGAUAUUCUGCUGUAAGUUCAACAUUGUUGUUAUUGGACUGAGGGAUUUUUGUAAUGGCUGGCUACAGGGAUCUUUGCUGCAGGACUUGGUUUUGUUUCUGUGGUACUACAUUAUGUACAUUGCUAGGUUGGUUAGUAGCAUGAUGUUGCAUAUGGUUCUGAUGUAUUUCAUUUUUUGCAGCAGGCCUUGUUUGCACUUUUCAUGACUUGCAUUGGCUAGUGCAUGCUUAGUGUUAGGUUCUGUAGAAUCACAAGGUAUUUCUUCAUGGAGGAUGGUGGUUGAUCCAAGGCAACAUGGCAUCAAGUUAACAUUUUGAGGUCACAUGUAUAAAUGGCAAACUAAUGUACCAUGGUGGAUCUUUGAAGAUUACGAAAAGGGUUUAGAAUGGAAAAAAGAGUUAAGUUGACUUUGGUCAAAGUUGACCAAAACGUCAACUGUUGACAAAAGCCAACACUUGGUCAAAGUUGCCAAAUUUUGGUAUUUUUUAUGUAAUGGACAUUAUGAUGAACUGUAAAUGAUUUUGAAUGAAUUUGAAUGGUUUUGGAUUGGAUCUUGUACUUGUAUUGAAUCUUGAAUAAGAAUGAAUACUUGAAAUGA